CUCCUACGGGAGGCAGCAGUGGGGAAUAUUGGACAAUGGGGGCAACCCGUGAUCCAGCGACGCCGCGUGUGUGAAGAAGGCCUGCGGGUUGUAAAGCACUUUUAUGGGGAUGGAAAAGCUCAAGGUUAACACCUCUGGGUCUUGACCUAACCACAGAAAAAGCAACCGGCUAACUCUGUGCCAGCAGCCGCGGUAAUAC
rnacentral:rRNA from 1 species